GUCGAACGUGAAAGCACUUCGGUGUGAGUAGAGUGGCGGACGGGUGAGUAACGCGUGGGAAUCUGCCCAGUAGUGGGGGACAACUACCGGAAACGGUAGCUAAUACCGCAUACGCCCUACGGGGGAAAGGCUUCGGCCGCUAUUGGAUGAGCCCGCGUCAGAUUAGCUAGUUGGUAGGGUAAAGGCCUACCAAGGCAACGAUCUGUAGCUGGUCUGAGAGGACGAACAGCCACACUGGGACUGAGACACGGCCCA
rnacentral:rRNA from 1 species